rnacentral:rRNA from 1 species
UACGAGGGGGGCAAGUGUUGUUCGGAAUCACUGGGCGUAAAGGGAGCGUAGGCGGAUGUUUAAGUUGGAUGUUUAAAACCGGGGCCUAACCUCGGAGCGGCAUCCAAAACUGGGCAUCUUGAAUAGGUCAGAGGCUGGUGGAAUUGGAGGUGUAGCGGUGGAAUGCGUAGAGAUCUCCAAGAACACCUAUUGCGAAGGCAGCCAGCUGGGACCAUAUUGACGCUGGAGGCUCGAAAGCAUGGGGAGCAAACAGG